rnacentral:rRNA from 1 species
GAUGAACGCUGGCGGCGUGCCUAAUACAUGCAAGUCGAGCGAACAGAUGAGGAGCUUGCUCCUCUGACGUUAGCGGCGGACGGGUGAGUAACACGUGGAUAACCUACCUAUAAGACUGGGAUAACUUCGGGAAACCGGAGCUAAUACCGGAUAAUAUAUUGAACCGCAUGGUUCAAUAGUGAAAGACGGUUUUGCUGUCACUUAUAGAUGGAUCCGCGCCGCAUUAGGUAGUUGGUAAGGUAACGGCUUACCAAGGCAACGAUGCGUAGCCGACCUGAGAGGGUGAUCGGCCACACUGGAACUGAGACACGGUCCAGACUCCUACGGGAGGCAGCAGUAGGGAAUCUUCCGCAAUGGGCGAAAGCCUGACGGAGCAACGCCGCGUGAGUGAUGAAGGUCUUCGGAUCGUAAAACUCUGUUAUUAGGGAAGAACAAAUGUGUAAGUAACUAUGCACGUCUUGACGGUACCUAAUCAGAAAGCCACGGCUAACUACGUG